GUGCUCACUUCAGCAGCACAUACACUAAAACUGGAACAAUACAGAGAAGAUUAGCAUGGCCCCUGAGCAAGGAUGACAUGCCAAUUCGUGAAGCGUUCUAUAAAAAG
ensembl:snRNA U6 U6 spliceosomal RNA